AAAGUUGCUCAGCGAGCUAUGGAGAG
rnacentral:sRNA from 1 species